UAAUUGUUCCGCGUAUAGUAACAGUAUAUUUACGAUCGUAUUUACAACAGUAGUAUUUACUAUCUUUUAUUAUUUUUUUCAAGUGUAACCGACAGCAAUAAGGGUAGGUUCAACACAAUACUUCACUCACGGUUGCCAAGUUUAUUAAAUAACUUACGAAUUAGCUUAUCGUAUGUACAAUAUUGACGCCUUGGAAGAAGGCUAAAUAAUCCUAAGUUUUAUGAAUCAACCUUAAGGACGCACUCGGAUGAGUCCCCAUACUUCGGACGUACUGGGAACAUUUAAAAAUGAUCAUUUCGGGACACACUCGGGUAGCCCCGUCACCCUUUGCGUUGGAUCACGUUCGGUAAAUAUCACAAAUUAUAAGUAGGGC